rnacentral:misc_RNA from 1 species
AAGUAACAAGGUCUCCGUUGGUGAACCAGCGGAGGGAUCAUUACCGAGUUUACAACUCCCAAACCCCUGUGAACAUACCUAUACGUUGCCUCGGCGGAUCAGCCCGCGCCCCGUAAAACGGGACGGCCCGCCCGAGGACCCCUAAACUCUGUUUUUAGUGGAACUUCUGAGUAAAACAAACAAAUAAAUCAAAACUUUCAACAACGGAUCUCUUGGUUCUGGCAUCGAUGAAGAACGCAGCAAAAUGCGAUAAGUAAUGUGAAUUGCAGAAUUCAGUGAAUCAUCGAAUCUUUGAACGCACAUUGCGCCCGCCAGUAUUCUGGCGGGCAUGCCUGUUCGAGCGUCAUUUCAACCCUCAAGCUCAGCUUGGUGUUGGGACUCGCGGUAACCCGCGUUCCCCAAAUCGAUUGGCGGUCACGUCGAGCUUCCAUAGCGUAGUAAUCAUACACCUCGUUACUGGUAAUCGUCGCGGCCACGCCGUUAAACCCCAACUUCUGAAUGUUGACCUCGGAUCAGGUAGGAAUACCCGCUGAACUUAAGCAUAUCAAUAAGCGGAGGAAAAGAAACCAACAGGGAUUGCCCUAGUAACGGCGAGUGAAGCGGCAACAGCUCAAAUUUGAAAUCUGGCUCUCGGGCCCGAGUUGUAAUUUGUAGAGGAUGCUUUUGAUGCGGUGCCUUCCGAGUUCCCUGGAACGGGACGCCAUAGAGGG